rnacentral:ncRNA from 1 species
CAGGGCAAAACCACCGAAAGGUGGCGGCGCAAAGCUACAGGGGCUACGGCGGUAUAUAAUUACCGUUAGGCCAGCCAGUUGCCG